GUGCUCACUUCAGCAGCACAUAUACUAAAAUUGGAUUGCUACAGAGAAGAUUAGCAUGGCCCUCGUGCAGGGAGGACACACAGAUUUGUGAAGGGUUCCGUAUGUUU
ensembl:snRNA U6 U6 spliceosomal RNA